rnacentral:rRNA from 1 species
UACAGAGGUCCCAAGCGUUGUUCGGAUUCACUGGGCGUAAAGGGUGCGUAGGUGGUUGGGAAAGUUUGAUGUGAAAGCUCGGAGCUUAACUCCAAAAUGGCAUUGAAUACUUCUUAACUUGAGGGUCGGAGGGGAGACUGGAAUUCUCGGUGUAGCAGUGAAAUGCGUAGAUAUCGAGAGGAACACCAGUGGCGAAGGCGAGUCUCUGGACGACUCCUGACACUGAGGCACGAAAGCUAGGGGAGCAAACAGG